GGAGAGAUACCCAAGUGGCCAAAGGGAUCAGACUGUAAAUCUGACGGCGUUAGCCUUCGAAGGUUCGAAUCCUUCUCUCUCCACCA
rnacentral:tRNA from 2 species